GCUUAAAUCUUUUGGCCCAGCUCCUACCUCCCGGCAGCCUCGCCAGGCCCAGAACUCUCUCCAGUCAGCCUCUACAGACCAAGCUCAUGACUCACAAUGGCCUAUUGAGGCCCAUACCCUACCUCACGGCAGUCUCCGCAGAUGAGCCUACUGCCUCACAACAGCCUCCACAGGCACAGCUCCAUCGUUACAAUGGCCUCUUUAGACCCAGCUCCUGCCUCCCAGCCUUCUCUCCAGGCCCUGAACUUUCUCCGGUGUCCCUCUGUUGUGCAAGGCUGGAGGGUAGUAGUGCUAUCGCAGCUGACUGCAGCCUCAACCUUCCAGGCUGAAGCGAUCCUCCCAUCUCAACCUCCCACGUGGCUGAGACUACAGGUGCUUGCCUCUAUGCCCACCUAAUAUUUGGUAUUUUUGUAUACGUGGAUUCCAGAGGGGUGACAGCGAAACGUGAGUGGGACCAUCCAGUUUCAGGAAAACAAGCUUAACACACCCACUGAUUCUACAUUAUGCAGAUUCUUCAGGCCCAGCAUCUGCCUCACUGUGGACCCCCCAAGCCAAGCUCCCAACCUUUCAGCAGCUUCUACACACCCAGCUCCCGCCUGCCAGUGGCCUCUUCAGGCCCAUGGGGCUCAUUCCUCACAACAGCCUUUCCAGUCCCAGUUUUUCCCUUCCGGCGGCCUCUCCGGGCUGAGAACCUCCUCAAGUCGGCCUCUCCAGACCCACUUGCACCCUCCAGGCGUCCUCUCCGGGCCAAGCUCCUCUUCCUGGCUGCGUCUCCAGGCCUGACUCCUGCCUCUCAACAACCUCUUUGGACUCAGUGCCUACCCAUCUCCUGGCGUCCUUGGUCGGCCCACAGCUUCAUCAAGCCAAGCUCCCCAGGCCCAGGUCAGGCCUCACGGUGCCCCCUCCACGAUGAGCUCCUGCCCUCCAAUGGCACCUGCAGGCCCCAAAUGGUCUCCGGUCGGUGGGCUCCUCCACGCCAAGCUUGGGCCUCCCGGUGACCUCUGCAGGCCCAAGUUGUCCUGAAGUCGGCAUCUCCCGGCCGUGCCUCCCAGCAAGUAAGCAAGCUCUUUUGGCUCAACUCCUGCCCAGCUCCCAACCGCCUUUGUAGGUCCCGAACUUUCUCCAGCCAAGUUCUUUGGGCCUCAUUCCUGCCGCCCGGUGGCCUGUACGGGCCCAGCAAUGGUUGGAGAACGGCCUCUGCAGGUCCCGCUCUUGCCUCCCAGGGGCCUCUCCAGGCCCAGCUCUUGCCCUCACGGCGGCCACCCGGGGCCAAGUCCCUGCCUGCCUCCCAGCAGCCCUCAUGCGGCCCAGCUCCUCCCUCACGGUGGCCUGUUGAUGCCCAUGCCUCUGGUACCCUGCCCAGAGGCAUGAGCCCCUGCCACACACUGGCUCCUCCUAUGCUGAGAGAGGUCAGCGUGAGCCCUUGCCUCACACCGGCCCCUCCCACGCUGAGAGAGGUCAGCGUGAGCCCCUUGCCUCACACCGGCCCCUCCCACGCUGAGAGAGGUCGGCGUGAGCCCUUGCCUCACACCGGCCCCUCCCACGGUGAGAGAGGUCAGCGUCAGCCCCUUGCCUCACACCGGCCCCUCCCACGCUGAGAGAGGUCGGCGUGAGCCCUUGCCUCACACCGGCCCCUCCCACGGUGAGAGAGGUCAGCGUCAGCCCCUUGCCUCACACCGGCCCCUCCCACGCUGAGAGAGGUCGGCGUGAGCCCUUGCCUCACACCGGCCCCUCCCACGCUGAGAGAGGUCAACGUGAGCCCCUUGCCUCACACCGGCCCCUCCCACGGUGAGAGAGGUCAGUGUGAGCCCUUGCCUCACACCGGCCCCUCCCACGGUGAGAGAGGUCAGCAUCAGCCCCUUGCCUCACACGGGCCCCUCUCACUCUGACAGAGGUCAGCCUGAGCCCUUGUCUCACACCGGCCCCUCCCACGCUGAGAGAGGUCGGCGUGAGCCCUUGCCUCACACGGGCCCCUCUCACUCUGACAGAGGUCAGCCUGAGCCCUUGUCUCACACCGGCCCCUCCCACGCUGAGAGAGGUCAACGUGAGCCCCUUGCCUCACACCGGCCCCUCCCACGCUGAGAGAGGUCAACGUGAGCCCCUUGCCUCACACCGGCCCCUCCCACGCUGAGAGAGGUCAGCGUGAGCCCUUGCCUCACACCGGCCCCUCCCACGCUGAGAGAGGUCGGCAUGAGCCCCUUGCCUCACACGGGCCCCUCUCACUCUGACAGAGGUCAGCCUGAGCCCUUGUCUCACACCGGCCCCUCCCACGCUGAGAGAGGUCAGCCUGAGCCCUUGCCUCACACCGGCCUCUCCCACGCUGAGAGAGGUCAGCCUGAGCCCUUGCCUCACACCGGCCCCUCCCACGCUGAGAGAGGUCAGCCUGAGCCCUUGCCUCACCCCGGCCCCUCCCACGCUGAGAGAGGUCAGCGUGAGCCCUUGCCUCACACCGGCCCCUCCCACGCUGAGAGAAGUUGGCGUGAGCCCUUGCCUCACACCAGCCCCUCCCACGGUGAGAGAGGUCAGCGUCAGCCCCUUGCCUCACACUGGCCCCUCCCAUGCUGAGAGAGGUCGGCGUGAGCCCUUGCCUCACACCGGCCCCUCCCACGCUGAGAGAGGUCAGCGUGAGCCCCUUGCCUCACACCGGCCCCUCCCACGCUGAGAGAGGCCAGCGUGAGCCCUUGCCUCACACCGGCCCCUCCCACGCUGAGAGAGGUCAGCGUGAGCCCCUUGCCUCACCCUGGCCCCUCCCACGCUGAGAGAGGUCGGCGUGAGCCCUUGCCUCACACCGGCCCCUCCCACGGUGAGAGAGGUCAGCGUGAGCCCCUGCCUCAACAGGCCACCGUGAGGGAGGAGCAGGGUCGCACGCGGGCUGCUGUGAGGCAGGCAGCGACUUGGGCCUGGGAGGUCGUGGUGGGGUGAGAGCUGGGCUUGGAGACUCCCCUGGGAGGCAACAGCAGGGCCUACAGACUCUGUUCUCCAGCCGGAGCUGGGACUGUUCAGGUACUGGGAGGUGGGAUGUGGGUCUGAAGAGCUUGGUUGCAGAAACUUCGGGGUCUACAAACGCAGGCGGGAGCUGAGCCAAAAAAGCUUGUUUGCUGGGAGGUGGGAGAUGCAGUCAGGAGAAACAGCUGUGCCUGCAGAGGCCGCCAUGCGGGAGGUGGAGGCCGGGCCUCCUCAAAUCGGCCUCUCCAGACCCACUUGCAGCCUCCCGGCAUCCUCUCCGGGCCCAGCUCUUCCUCCCGGCUGCGUCUCCAGGCCUGACUCUGGCCUCCCAACAACGUCUUUGGACUCAGCUCCUGCCCAGCUCCCAGCAGGCCCAAGUCGUCGUCAAGUCGGCCUGGAAUUGGGCCCAGAAGAGCAGCAAGUCGGCCUCCCCGGGCCCAGCUCCGUCCUCUCGGCGGCCUCUCCAGGUGCAAAACUUCCUCGAGUCAGCCUCUCCAGGCCCGGCUCCUCCUGCCUCCCAGUGGCCUCUUUCAGCCCAGACCAGCUCAUGGCUCUUGGCGGCCUUCCCAGGCCCCGCUUUUGACUUUUGGUGGCCUCUUCAGGCCCAGAACUUGACCUCCAGUGGGCCUUUGCAGGCCCGGCCUCCUGCCUCUCGAAGGCCUGCACGGGCCCGGACUCACAGCGGACUCACAGCGGACUCUCCAUGCCCAGCUAGCUCUCGCCUCAUUGCGGCCUCCCGAGUCCAAAGCUCCUGCCUCUCGGCCGCUUCGGCAGGCCCAGCUCCCGCCUGCCAGUGGCCUCUUUAGGCCCAGCUCAUUCCUCACAACGGCCUUCCCAGGCCCCGUUUUUCCCUUCUGGCAGCCUCUUGGCCUCUAAUUUGUUUAUCUUUUGUGUAUAAAUCCCAAAAUAUUGAAUUUUGGAAUAUUUCCACCAUUAUGUAAAUAUUUUGGUAGGUGAUUUAUUUGGGGUGAGUUUCUGCACCAAGCCCGAAUUUUUUAUUUUAUUUUCCUUAUUAUUUGGUGUUAAACAGGUUUAAUGACAGUCAUGGCAACUGUUUGGCACAAUGAAAAAUAUCGCCCAUGAUCAACGUGUUCUGUUCUGGGGAAGGGGGCAAAGGCAGGGUGAAUCACUUUCUUAAAAAGUAUAGCUCAAGUUGGGAGUGCAGAGGGAAUGGGGAGAAAACCCUCCCGCUGCCUGUGUCGAAGUGCAGGAGCCCCCACUCCCAUACUCACCUGAGUCCAGCCCCUCUGGGGAAAGAAGGGGUGCAUGAACUCCCCCUAGUCCACAGGUACCUUCCUGUGGCCCAAGGCCCUCUUCACACUCCAUCUUGUAGCCCCAACAGGAGCUAUUUUCCGAAAAGUGAAAAGCUCUGAAGGUCCCACAAUUCAUGGUAUGUACACCUCCCUCACCAGGGGCUGCAAAGUGGCCUGGAGCUCCAUACUGAGUAGAAGUCUUUGGGCCAGAGUCAGCAUCUGGCUGACGGUCCGGAUAUCCUGGUUGGAGUGACCCUGGUGCACCCUGCCAGGGCCUGGUGCCGCUUGCUGAAGAUCAUGACCGCCACUCAUGGGCCACCGAUGUGGUCCUUGUCCCAUUUGUUGGGGCUGCAUCCAUCCUUCUCAGAAGAUGAGUCCUGUUCCUUGCGCAGGGCACUGAGGGACUGGGCCUGACAUCAUCUGAGUGGUAGAGGCAACUGGGUGUCAGGAGACAUGAUGGAGAGGAAAGCAUCAUCAUGGUCAUUCUCUGUCUCACUGUCCAGCAGGGACUCCCCUGAGGGGCCCAGGGCUCCUCCUCCAUGGUGGGAGGUGAGCUUUUAACAGGUUCCACCACCCCCAAAGUGUGUGGGGUUGCGGGCCCUGGGCUUUCAGGGCAGGUGGCUCCAGGGGGCCGCCCAGGGUCAACACUCCCUGUGCCACCUGGUGGAUGCUCAUGAGCAACAGCUGCCAACUUGGCAGGUUGUUUUCUCUGGUUGGAGGCCACUGAGUAACUGGCAGGUUGCUGGGCCUCGUGUGGCUGCAGGGAGGGGUCAGGAAGGGGAUGGAGUACCAGGGGAACACGGCCACAGAGUGACCUUCCACAUUCCUCCACACGAACAUGCUGACGCCACGGGAGGCCUCACUGAAUGCAGGCCUGGGGGCCGAGUACUUGGUCCGGGCAGGGAGUUCCUGGCAGGGGCUCACACCUCACCCCCUCCUCAGCCCAGGUGGCUUGGGCCCAGAGAAGUGGGGGUUGGAGAGGAGCAGAAGGCCAGGCCUCAAGUUUUGUUUUUUUUGUUUGUUUUUUUUGUUUUUGAAAUGCAGUUUGACUCUUGUCACCCAGGCUGGAGUGCAGUGGCACGAUCUCAGUGGCCUUCAUACCUGGCUAAUUUUUUGUAUUUUUACUGGGGGUGGGGUUUUGCCAUGUUGGCCAGGCUGGUCUUGACCUCCCGACCUCAGGUGAUCCACCCACCUCAGCCUCCCAAAAUGGGAUUACGGGCGUGAGCCACUGCUCCCAACUUCAUUCAUUUUUACUUGAAAAACUCCGUUAAGCAUUUUUUUAAGGUAGACCUAGUGGUCCUGAAUGCCCUCAGCUUUGUUUGUCGAGGAAGCACGUUAUUUCUUUUUUCUUUCUGAAGGACAGCUUUGUCAGACAUAGUAUUAGUUGCUGGCACUUUUUUUCUUUCAGCACUUUGAAUGUAUUAUUCGAUUCUGUCCUGACCUGCAAAGUUUCUUUAACUUUUGACUAUUUGAUUAUAUUGUGACUUGGUGAGUAUCUAUUUGGUUUGAACCUCUUUAGGAAUCUUUAAGCUUCAUGGAUUUAGAUGUCUAAAUCUUUCCCAUGAUUUAGGCAGUCUUCAGCCAUUGUUUAAAUAAGCUUUCUUCUCCUUUCUCUACUUUCCUUCUCAAACUCCCAUAACCUGACAAUGGUUUGCCUAAUGGUGUCUUGUUGGCUUUCUUUUCUCUGUCUUUUUUUCUUUUUUCUUUUUUUUUUUUUGAGACAGAGUCAUGCUCUGUCACCCAGGCUGGAGUGCAAUGUGUGGUCUAGGCUCACUAGGGUUAGGGUUAGGGUUUUAGGGUAAGGGUGAAGGGUUAGGGUUUUAGGGUAAGGGCGAAGGGUUAGGGUUUUAGGGUAAGGGCGAAGGGUUAGGGAUUUAGGGUAAGGGCGAAGAGUUAGGGUUUUAGGGUCAGGGCCCAGGGUCAGGGUUUUAGGGUCAGGGCGAAGGGUUAGGGUUUUAGGGUCAGGGCGAAGGGUUAGGGUUUUAGGGUCAGGGCCCAGGGUUGGGGUUUUAGGGUCAGGGCCCAGGGUUAGGGUUUUAGGGUCAGGGCCCAGGGUUAGUGUUUUAGGGUCAGGGCCCAGGGUUAGGGUUUUAGGGUCAGGGCCCAGAGUUAGUAGGGUUUUAGGGUCAGGGCUCAGGGUUAGUAGGGUUUUAGGGUCAGGGCCAAGGGUUAGUAGGGUUAAGGGUCAGGGCCCAGGGUUAGGGUUUUAGGGUCAGGGCCCAGAGUUAGUAGGGUUUUAGGGUCAGGGUUCAGGGUUAGUAGGGUUUUAGGGUCAGGGCCAAGGGUUAGUAGGGUUAAGGGUCAGGGCCCAGGGUUAGGGUUUUAGGGUCAGGGCCCAGGGCCCAGGGUUAGGGUUUUAGGGUCAGGGCCCAGGGCCAAGGGUUAGGGUUUCAGUGUCAGGGCCUGGGGCCCAGGGUUAGGGCUUCAGGGCCAGGGCCCGGGGCCCAGGGUUAGGGCUUCAGGGACAGGGCCGGGAGCCCAGGGUUAGGGCUUCAGGGACAGGGCCGGGAGCCCAGGGUUAGGGAUUCAGGGUCAGGGCCCGGGGCCCAGGGUUAGGGCUUCAGGGUCAGGGCCCGGGGCCCAGGGUUAGGGCUUCAGGGCCAGGGCCCGGGGCCCAGGGUUAGGGCUUCAGGGCCAGGGCCCGGGGACCAGGGUUAGGGCUUCAGGACCAGGGCCCGGGGACCAGGGUUAGGGCUUCAGGACGAGGGC